AGUGAACGCUGGCGGCAGGCCUAACACAUGCAAGUCGAACGGCAGCUCCGUAAUUGCUUGCUCUUACGGGUGGCGAGUGGCGGACGGUUGAUGUAUAUAUCGGAAUCUUCUUUUUCGUGUGGGAUAAUGUAGGGAAACUUACUCUAAUACAGCAUUCGACCUAUGGGUGAAAGCAGGGGAUCUUCUGACCUUGUGCGAUUGAAUGUGCCGAUGUAGGAUUAGCUAGUUGGCGGGGUAAAGGCCCACCAAGGCGACGAUCCGUAGCUGGUCUGAGAGGAUGAACAGCCACACUGGAACUGAGACACGGUCCAGACUCCGAGGGGAGGCAGCAGUGGAGAAUAUUGGGGGAUGGACGCAAGGCUGAUCCAGCCAUACCGCGGAAGUGAAGAAGGACUUCGGGUGGUAGAGCACUUUUGUUGGGAAAGAAAAGCAGCAGGUUAAUACCGCGCUGUUCUGACGGUACCCAAAGAAGAAGCACCGGCUAACUUCGUG
rnacentral:rRNA from 1 species